rnacentral:rRNA from 1 species
AACGAACGCUGGCGGCGGGCUUAACACAUGCAAGUCGAACGCGUGCAGCAAUGCACGAGUGGCGCACGGGUGAGUAACGAGUGGAUAUCUGCCUUUUGGUUCGGAAUAACCCCGGGAAACUGGGGCUAAUACCGGAUGGUUCCUACGGGAUAAAGAUUUAUCGCCAAAAGAUGAGUCCGCGUCCGAUUAGCUAGUUGGUGAGGUAAUGGCUCACCAAGGCGACGAUCGGUAGCUGGUCUGAGAGGACGAUCAGCCACACUGGGACUGAGACACGGCCCAGACUCCUACGGGAGGCAGCAGUGGGGAAUAUUGGACAAUGGGGGCAACCCUGAUCCAGCCAUGCCGCGUGAGUGAUGAAGGCCUUCGGGUUGUAAAGCUCUUUUGGCGGGGACGAUGAUGACGGUACCCGCAGAAUAAGCCCCGGCUAACUUCGUG